rnacentral:rRNA from 2 species
CUUGGGGGAUCUUUAGCAUGGCUAAAUUGUAAUAAUUGUUACAGUAAUCGAUUUACUCGAAAUAAAUUCUGAGUAGAAAAUGAUAAUGACAUUUUCUAUUAUAUGUCUCGACCAACUUACGUGCCAGCAGUCGCGGUAACUCGUUAGAGGCUAGCGUUAUUCAUCUUAAAUGGGUUUAAAGCGUUCCUAGACGGUUAAAUAAGGCUUUUAUACUAGAAGGUUUUUAGUAAACUAAUUAAACUAGAGUUACAUGUAAGGGUGAUUUAAAGUACUAGUGAGUGUAGAGAUAAAAUUCUGUAAUACAAAAUAUGUAAGUAAGGCACAGGUAUUGGCGAAAGCAUCAUCUUAUGUAAUAACUGACGUUAAAGGACGAAGGCUCUUAUCAACAAAAAGGAUUAGUUACCCAAGUAAUUGGAGCAGAAAAUGAUGAAUGUCAUAGAUUAGAUGACUAUUUAGUCUAUAAAUGAAAGUGUAAGCAUUCCACCUUAAGAGUAAUUUGGCAACAUUGGAACUGAAAUCAUUAGUCCGUUUCUGAUACAAGUAGUGAAGUAUGUUGUUUAAUUUGAUGAUCCGCAAAGAACCUUACCACAAUUUGAAUAUUAAUUAUUUUAUUCAUUAAUACAAGCGUUGCACGGCUGUUUUAAGUUAAUCUCGUGAGAUUUUGGUACGUCCAAAAAUUAACGUAAACCCUUACUUUAUUUUUAUAUAAGGUAGCAACACUCUAUUAAUAGAGUGGAUAAUAGGGACUAAUACAAGUCAUC